rnacentral:rRNA from 1 species
UACGUAGGGUGCAAGCGUUAUCCGGAAUUAUUGGGCGUAAAGAGCUCGUAGGCGGUUUGUCGCGUCUGCUGUGAAAACCGGAGGCUCAACCUCCGGCCUGCAGUGGGUACGGGCAAACUAGAGUGCGGUAGGGGGGAUUGGAAUUCCUGGUGUAGCGGUGGAAUGCGCAGAUAUCUGGAGGAACACCGGUGGCGAAGGCGGCAUCCUGGACCAACACUGACGCUGAGUGAGCGAAAGCCAGGGGAGCAAACGGG